CACCACUUUCGCCGCCUUUACUCUUUGAGCAAAUUCACAAGCCUCCUCGACGAACAGUUCUUUCUUUCUUGCUAACAACGUUUUCAAUCAAAAGAAACAAAAUUUCAAUCCCACUGUGGGUUCUACCCCUUUGCAGUUCUAUCAUCCCAAAUCCAAGCAGAAGUCCUAGUACAAUCUAUAUUUUGUCUUUUCCUUAAUUCUUCCGGUCACAAAAUCUCAGAUUAAAGCUCUCGAACCUUAACCCCAUUUGUUUCUGUGGUGUCCUUGGCUAUUGUUUCGACAGAUGGGCCCAGAAGCUGCAAGAACAGCACGAGAAUCUCUUGACCUAGUAUUCCACAUGUCAAACAUUCUUGAAACUGGGCUGGAUCGUCAUACACUUUCGAUUCUCAUUGCCCUUUGUGAAAUGGGUCUCAACCCUGAGGCACUAGCUGCUGUUGUUAAGGAGCUCCGCUGGGAAACCAUUCCCAAUCUUUCAUCGUCUGCUUCUUCUUUGUCUGCAACACCACCGGCUCCUUCCAUUCCUUAGGUGGAGCUAGGAGCAGGUGCAGCUUGCUUGAACUGAUUGAGCUCAUGUACCACACGAUGAUGAAGAUGUGGUGGUUAAAGAUCAAGUGAUAUUUUCUUCUAGUCACCUUUAUACAGAUGCAUCUUUAGAUCAUUUUUAGGUGAUCCAGGGUGUCUGCAGCUCAUCAUUUUUGCCCAAGAUUCAAACAAUAUGUAAUGCAUGUGUCUAAUUUGUGGCAUAAUUAGGGGGACAUGGGAUAGUGUAACUUAUUGGUAUGAUAUAUUGAAGAACCUUAUGUGGCGUGAUGGUUGCUUAAAAUAGUUAGUAUGAAUCUAAGUUGUUUUUAAGGAAGUUAUUGCUGCUUGUAAAAUUGAGUAUUUCUGCCUUUGAAAAAAUUUGCUUACAUUUGGAGCAAAGUUCCUAAGUUAUGUAGCAUAACAUUAUGUGUUGUAUACAAUGCAUAAUAUAUGAUAAUACUAGCUUCCUUUGAUUUAGGGAAAGUACUUGAUCUUGUGAAUAGAUUGAUUUGUCAAUGCGUCCUUGAGAUUAGACAAGGAAGAAUUGUUUGUUCAUUUGAGAGCAAUUCACUAGUUGUAGUUUCUGACCUCUCAUAUAAUUCUAUGCUCAGACAUUGCUUCUUUGUUGGUAGGAUCCCUUGUUUAUGACCUGACAUUUCCUUGUGAAAUUAUAAUUAUUUUUUGGUCAUGUGUAUUUGAUCUUAGUGAGUCUCAUAACUGAUAUCUGAUUAUAUAUACUUUACUGUUUUUUCUGUUUUUCUGUAAACUUCCGAGCUUAUACAUCCUAAUGUGAGACAACCAUCUGAUUGAGCAUGCACCAGUACUAUACUGAGAAGUGUUUGCGCCUAGAAUUUGACUCUAUUCAACUCAACCAGAGGCCUGCUCCCGUUAUUUAUGAAAAACGAGAGAAAGAAAUGAGACAUGGAUGGGAGCUUUUUGGGAUUCCAGGUUUUUAUGGGUACUGGGAGACAAAAGGCUUGACUCCUCCAGGAUGGGACGCUUUACAAAUUUCUUCAUUUUACCAAACCAGUAAUUCAUAUUCAUUUUACAAGUUUGUGCAGCUUUGGACGCUUGAGAAAUGUGACAAAGGUUAUUUCACUCAUGAAAAUUGUUUCAUUACAAAUUUAGCUUUUUUGUUAAAAUUUAAUUGUGUUUUUAUUUGAUAUUAAGACAUCACUGUGGCUUAAAUCUUUUUGUUAGUAAACUUUCUCUCAAGUAUCACGGUCCUAAUGACAUAACCAAUGUAAAUAUCGUAUGGCAAUAAAGAUUUGAAGGACAUUAGUGACCAAAGCUUCACAAUUCUUUUAGUUCCCAGUAAUUGAAGUGAAUUUCAAUAGAGGACGUUUCAAUUUAUUUAUUGUUUUGGGGGUCAAACUUUAUCAUUGUAUAUUAACACUUAAUAAUCAAGAGAUUAAUUACAAAAGAGAAGCAGCCGCCCUUGCAUCUUCCUAUGCAGAAUGUUUCAGCAAUGGGAAAAUCAUCUUCCCACUUUACAUCAGUAACUAAACCAUCGAUCACUUCAGGCUAACAAAUUUUUAUACCCACCACAGCCCAAAAAAAAAAAAAAAGGAAAAGAGCUAAUAAUCGACCUGUGUAGUGUGUAUCCUCUAUAGAAUUCCUAUAGGAAACUAAACUGAUAUGAAGAAGGGAUGGUUUUACACAUCAUCACCCAUGAAGGUUUAUCAACUGAUCUACGUAGCAAGGUCUAGAAAUGAUCUUUAAUAUUUUAGCAGAAAUUUUCUUGCACUAGCUAGAUCUGGCUUUUAUUUUCUGAUUUUAUUGUUGGCCAGUGUAAGAGAAGCUUAUACAAUGCAGAGGACCAACAAAGAGAUGGGAGAAGAGGAAAUUUGAUAGAGCAUUUAACUGAGUAAAAUUGGUAAAAUUUUAUUACUUUCGCCUGAAGUUUAUUGAUAGAUGCUUAUUACCAAAAAAAAA